GACGAACGCUGGCGGCGUGCUUAACACAUGCAAGUCGAGCGGUAAGGCCCUUUCGGGGGUACACGAGCGGCGAACGGGUGAGUAACACGUGGGUGACCUGCCCUCAGCUCUGGGAUAAGCCUGGGAAACUGGGUCUAAUACUGGAUAUGACUCCACGGUGCAUGUCGUGGGGUGGAAAGCCUUGUGCGGCUGAGGAUGGGCCCGCGGCCUAUCAGCUUGUUGGUGGGGUGANGGCCUACCAAGGCGACGACGGGUAGCCGGCCUGAGAGGGCGACCGGCCACACUGGGACUGAGACACGGCCCAGACUCCUACGGGAGGCAGCAGUGGGGAAUCUUGCGCAAUGGGCGAAAGCCUGACGCAGCGACGCCGCGUGCGUGAAGAAGGCCUGCGGGUUGUAAAGCACUUUCAGU
rnacentral:rRNA from 1 species